CCCACGCUUGUCAUUACAAUAGUAGAAAACGUUAGGCAAAAGCAAGAAUCCGGUAAGAACUAUACGAAUGAUGAAUCUGUUUAUAAGAACAUGAGCAAAAGUUGGUUCAGUUUGUAAUGUGUUCAAAAGUGAUUCGUGAUCCGUUUUUUGAUCUCUCUUGUAGUUUUGGUGGAAACCUUAGCUUAAGUGAUCCGUUUCUUGAUCUCUC